CAGUCGCCGCGGUAAUACAGAGGGUGCAAGCGUUAAUCGGAUUUACUGGGCGUAAAGCGUGCGUAGGCGGCUUUUUAAGUCGGAUGUGAAAUCCCUGAGCUUAACUUAGGAAUUGCAUUCGAUACUGGGAAGCUAGAGUAUGGGAGAGGAUGGUAGAAUUCCAGGUGUAGCGGUGAAAUGCGUAGAGAUCUGGAGGAAUACCGAUGGCGAAGGCAGCCAUCUGGCCUAAUACUGACGCUGAGGUACGAAAGCAUGGGGAGCAAACAGGAUUAGAUACCCCGGUAGUCCCUGUCUCUUAUAC
rnacentral:rRNA from 1 species